UGCGCCUACGGGGGGCAGCAGUGGGGAAUAUUGCACAAUGGGGGGAACCCUGAUGCAGCGACGCCGCGUGAGUGAAGAAGUAUUUCGGUAUGUAAAGCUCUAUCAGCAGGGAAGAAAAUGACGGUACCUGACUAAGAAGCCCCGGCUAACUACGUGCCAGCAGCCGCGGUAAUACGUAGGGGGCAAGCGUUAUCCGGAUUUACUGGAUGUAAAGGGAGCGUAGGCGGCAGUGCAAGUCAGAAGUGAAAGCCCGGGGCUCAACUCCGGGACUGCUUUUGAAACUGUACAGCUUGAUUGCAGGAGAG
rnacentral:rRNA from 1 species